UCGCCGACGUAGAACAUACCCAAAAGUAAUCAAGCCGCCUAUGUAACAUACCGGAUUUUAAAUAUAAAAGAGAAAAAUAAAUAAAAAUAGUAUGAGAUACUAUUUUAUUGGAUUUAGAGAAGUGAAAUAUUGGUUGGGAACGACCUGUGCUGAAAUCGGAGCGAAAACAGAAGAUUUAGAAUUUUCUGUUGGAAGCGGGACUAAUAAAUUAGCAGAAAAUGUACAGUCUCAGAAAAUUAUGAAAAUUAGCGGAGAUGUCAGAAAUAUUUUUAUGAGGCUAGAUUUAAAGUUUUAUAUUUUUCUGACACCCGUAGAGUGAGAAAUAAAAUCCGAAAACUAUCUGAUAAAGAUUGCAGUUCGGCACAAUUUUUGGCGACCAAACGGGGUCGAAACUGAAAUAUUAAAAUUUUUUUGGACUUAUUAAGUAAAACCGAGCAUGCCUGUCAAAUUUGAGUUCAAACGGACGUUCAGAAGGGCUCCGGCGAAAAAUAAACUGCUCGAAGUGAAUAGUGCGUAGUUGAGGGGCAAAAUGGUAAAAAGGGUUUAAAACCCCUUUUCUUCUUCUCCUCCCAACCGUGGCUGGCCCA
rnacentral:lncRNA from 1 species